rnacentral:lncRNA from 1 species
UUUCUCUUGAAUAUUUUUCAUAUAUUAACAUUAAAUAUUAGUGUUUCAUUUCAGGUCAGAUAAAAUCCACCCCCCACAAAGAAAAAAAAGUCAUCCCUUAGCAGACUAAUGGGAAUGAAUUGAAGAAUUUCUCUAGCAGGAAUAUAAGGAACAGUAUCAUUUUCAAAAGGUUCUGUGAGCAAAUUCCUGCCCAAACCCCUACAUGCCAGACACAUUUAGAGUUGCUCUGCUAUCAGGUGAUGGUCACAGUAUUUAGCAGCUGGUGCCACACUAGAGCAGAACAGAUCUUGAAGGCCACCUGCAGUGCAGACAUCUAUACUUUAGUUGUUGGACUGAAGUCACCUUGAGGACUGAGGGUAAAGCAACUCCUCACUAAUACAUUGGGAAAUAUUUAAAUAUUUUAAUAAUAAUUUUUUAAAUAAUAACUUU